GAUGAAGAACGUAGCGAAAUGCGAUAACUAAUGUGAAUUGCAGAAUUCAGUGAAUCAUCGAAUCUUUGAACGCACCUUGCGCCCCUUGGUUAUUCCAAAGGGCAUGCCUGUUUGAGUAUCAUGAACACCUCAACUCUUGUGGUUUCCCACAAUGAGCUUGGACUGUGGAGGUUUUGUUGGCCCUGUGGUCAGCUCCUCUCAAAUGGAUCAGCUUACCGGUGUUUGGUGGCAUUACGGGUGUGAUAACUAUCUACGCUCGUGGUCGUCUCCAAAUAACCUCCAGUGAUGGAGGUUCGCUGGAGCUUAUAAAUGUCUCUCCCCAGUGAAGACAGCCUUUGAACGUUCGAUCUCAAAUCAGGUAGGACUACCCGCUGAACUUAAGCAUAUCAAUAAGCGGAGGA
rnacentral:misc_RNA from 1 species